GGAUGUGAGGGCGAUCUGGCUGCGACAUCUGUCACCCCAUUGAUCGCCAGGGUUGAUUCGGCUGAUCUGGCUGGCUAGGCGGGUGUCCCCCUCCUCCCUCACCGAUCCAUGUGCGUCCCUCCCGAAGCUGCGCGCUCGGUCGAAGAGGACGACCUUCCCCCCCGAGGAGAGGACCGGUCUUCGGUCAAGGGUAUACGAGUAGCUGCGCUCCCCUGCUAGAACCUCCAAACAAGAUGAUCAAAAGUAACUUUGGGCCCUGGCCGGUGUUAGACCAUCAUCCUAUGCACCAAAGGGUCAUGGACACAAUU
rnacentral:snRNA from 1 species